rnacentral:rRNA from 1 species
GAUGAACGCUGGCGGCGUGCCUAAUACAUGCAAGUCGAGCGAACGGACGAGAAGCUUGCUUCUCUGAUGUUAGCGGCGGACGGGUGAGUAACACGUGUAUAACCUACCUAUAAGACUGGGAUAACUUCGGGAAACCGGAGCUAAUACCGGAUAAUAUUUUGAACCGCAUGGUUGAAUAGUGAAAGACGGUCUUGCUGUCACUUAUAGCUGGAUCCGCGCUGCAUUAGCUAGUUGGUAAGGUAACGGCUUACCAAGGCAACGAUGCAUAGCCGACCUGAGAGGGUGGUCGGCCACACUGGAACUGAGACAGCGUCCAGAGUCCUACGGGAGGCAGCAGUAUGGAAUGUUCCGCAAUGGGCGGGAGCCUGACGGAGCGACGCCACGUCAGUGAUGAAGGUCUUCGGAUCGUAAAACUCUGUUAUUAGGGAAGAACAUAUUUGUAAGUAAGUGUACACAUCGUGACGGUACCUAAUCAGAAAGCCACGGCUAACUACGUG